rnacentral:rRNA from 1 species
AGCGAACGCUGGCGGCAGGCCUAACACAUGCAAGUCGAACGAACCCUUCGGGGUUAGUGGCGGACGGGUGAGUAACACGUGGGAACGUGCCUUGAGGUUCGGAAUAACUCAGGGAAACUUGUGCUAAUACCGAAUGUGCCCUUCGGGGGAAAGAUUUAUCGCCUUUAGAGCGGCCCGCGUCUGAUUAGCUAGUUGGUGAGGUAAUGGCUCACCAAGGCUACGAUCAGUAGCUGGUCUGAGAGGAUGACCAGCCACAUUGGGACUGAGACACGGCCCAAACUCCUACGGGAGGCAGAAGUGGGGAAUCUUGCGCAAUGGGCGAAAGCCUGACGCAGCCAUGCCGCGUGGAUGAUGAAGGUCUUAGGAUUGUAAAAUCCUUUCACCGGUGAAGAUAAUGACUGUAGCCGGAGAAGAAGCCCCGGCUAACUUCGUGCCAGCAGCCGCCGUAACAC